rnacentral:rRNA from 1 species
UCAGUAAUGUUGCGAUGAUCUGCUCUAGUUGUGUAAGAUAACCGCGGAAACCUGUGGCUAAGAGACUAGAAUGAGACGCAACCCUAUCAGUUUGUUGGUAGUGUAACGGACUACCAAGACUAUGACGGGUGACGGGAAAUCAGUGUUUGAUUCCGGAGAGGGAGCCUGAGAGAUGGCUCCCACGUCCAAGGAUGGCAGCAGGCGCGAAAAUUGUCCACUCUUUGUUGAGGAGACAGUUAUGAGGCGUGAUUGUAAGAGCGAAGAGUAAACAUCUUUGUGUAAUGCAACUAGAGGGCAAGUUUUGGUGCCAGCAGCCGCGGUAACUCCAACUCUAGAAGUGCCUAUUGUGGAUGCUGCAGUUAAAAAGUCCGUAGUCGUUGAUGCAAUUAAAAGGUGUAGAUCAAGUGCACCAAGUUUGUUAGUUGUGGCGGAGCGGACAGGGAGCAUGGUAUAGGUUGGCGAAGAAUGAAAUCUCAAGACCCAACCUGGACCAACUGAGGCGAAAGCGGUGCUCUUGUACGCGUCUGUGGAUCAAGGACGAAGGCUAGAGGAUCGAAAGUGAUUAGACACCGCUGUAGUUCUAGCAGUAAACUAUGCCGACAUUCUCUGUUGUUGAGACGGGGAGGGGAGAAAUCUUAGUUUUCGGGCUCUGGGGAUAGUACGCUUGCAAGAGUGAAACUUAAAGCGAAAUUGACGGAAGAUCACCACAAGGAGUGGAUUGUACUGCUUAAUUUGACUCAACACGGGAAAACUUACCAGGGCCAAGUCUCUCGUAGAUUGGCGACAUGAGAGGGGCAAGAGUGGUGCAUGGCCGUUGGAAAUUGAUGGGAUGACCUUUAGCUUAAGUGCUGUAACCAGUGAGAUCUUCUAGACAGGUGUCUUACUGACACAGGAAGGAGAAGGCUAUAACAGGUCCGUGAUGCCCUCAGAUGCCCUGGGCCGCAAGUGCAAUACAAUAUCCGUUUGAGCGACAUAAAUAUGCUUACGGAUGAGUAGGAUUAGCUCUUGUAAAUGAGCUAUGAAUGAGGAAUUCCUAGUAACUGUGUCUCAUCAAGGCACAGUGAAUGCGUCCCUGUUCUUUGUACACACCGCCCGUCACUAUUGCGGAUGGCAAUCAAGAUGAAGAGCCUAGGUU